AACGAACGCUGGCGGCGUGCCUAACACAUGCAAGUCGGACGGAGGUAGCAAUACCUUAGUGGCGCACGGGUGAGUAAUGCAUGGGGAUCUGCCUUGUGGAGGGGGAUAACUACGGGAAACUGUAGCUAAGACCGCGUAAGCAGAGUCGCAAGACUUUGGAAAUGCUGGGACCGUAAGGCCAGCAGCCAUAAGAUGAGCCCAUGUUCCAUUAGUUAGUUGGCGGGGUAACGGCCCACCAAGGCGAAGAUGGAUAGCUGGUCUGAGAGGACGAUCAGCCACACUGGGACUGAGACACGGCCCAGACUCCUACGGGAGGCAGCAGUGGGGAAUUUUGGACAAUGGGGGCAACCCUGAUCCAGCAACGCCGCGUGAAUGAAGAAGGCCUUAGGAUUGUAAAGUUCUUUGUCAGGGAAGAAAGUUUCUGUGCUAAUACCAUAGAACGAUGACGGUACCUGAAGAUAAGCACCGGCUAACUACGUG
rnacentral:rRNA from 1 species